rnacentral:rRNA from 1 species
UACAGAGGGGGCAAGCGUUAUUCGGAAUUAUUGGGCGUAAAGGGCGCGUAGGCGGCUUUGCAAGUGACGGGUGAAAGCCCUCGGCUUAACCGAGGAACUGCCUGUCAGACUGUAAGGCUUGAGACCGGGAGAGGUGAGUGGAAUUCCUGGUGUAGCGGUGGAAUGCGCAGAUAUCGGGAAGAACACCCGUGGCGAAGGCGGUUCUCUGGGACGGUACUGACGCUGAGACGCGAAAGCGUGGGGAGCGAACGGG